rnacentral:rRNA from 1 species
CGUAGGGUGCAAGCGUUAAUCGGAAUUACUGGGCGUAAAGCGUGCGCAGGCGGUCUUGUAAGACAGAGGUGAAAUCCCCCGGGCGUCAACCUGGGAACGUGCCUUUGUUGACUGCAAGGCUGGAGUGCGGCGAGAGGGGGAGUGGAAUUCCGCGUGUAGCAGUGAAAUGCGUAGAUAUGCGGAGGAACACCGAUGGCGAAGGCAAUCCCCUGGGCCUGCACUGACGCUCAUGCACGAAAGCGUGGGAGCAAACAGGAUU